UACAGAGGUCCCGAGCGUUGUUCGGAUUCAUUGGGCGUAAAGGGUGCGUAGGCGGCGGGGAAAGUCUGAUGUGAAAUCCUGGGGCUCAACCCUGGAACUGCUUUGGAUACUUCCUUGCUAGAGUACUGGAGAGGAAACUGGAAUUUACGGUGUAGCAGUGAAAUGCGUAGAGAUCGUAAGGAAGACCAGUGGCGAAGGCGAGUUUCUGGACAGUUACUGACGCUGAGACGCGAAAGCCAGGGGAGCGAACGGG
rnacentral:rRNA from 1 species